GCUGGGCAUGGUGGCGCAUGCCUGUAAUCCCAGCUACUCAGGAGGCUGAGGCAGGAGAAUUGCUUGAACCCAGGAGGCAGAGGUUGCGGUGAGCCGAGAUCACACCAUUGCAAUCCAGCCUGGGUAACAAGAGCGAAACUCUGUCUCAA
ensembl:misc_RNA Metazoa_SRP Metazoan signal recognition particle RNA